GGAUGACUCUAAAGGGGAUCUGGGCUUCAGACCUUUCCCACUCAGCCCUGUGCGUGCUUUUUGGUCUUUGUUUUAUUUUGUGUUUUUUAAAAUGGCUCUCUCUUUACCUUACCUGAAGUUUUGGCCUUGAAGCAGUUUCCCUUGUGGUCCUGCCUUUGUCAUUUUCUCAGAGCUGUGGGGUCUUCAACAAGAACCUGAGUAAGAGAACCAUGGGGAGGGAGGAUGGCACUUUUUGUUGACUUUUUUUUUUUUUCUUAGUUUUUCAGGUUAGCCAUUCUCUGCUGCUAUUUCCUUGUAUAAUGAUUGGCUUCUCCUAGACAUGACAUAUUCCUCAAGUAAAACUAAGAAGCAAAAACAGGGCAAGAUUGAGGUCCCAGCUGCUUACUCGUCACGGACCGAGUGGGCCUUGGAUUACAGCAUCCUCCAGAAGCGGCUGUAGGGCUCCAUCAUUUCUGGAAAGCCAAGGAGGUGCAACUUGAAGCUCUACCAGGGAGACGCUGGGGAGCCAUCUUCCUGUGUGGGAGCCUGGAAUAGUUUCAUUAUCCACCAGGAAAACGUGGUGCCCCUGGGCCACCCACUUAACUUACAAACUUUACUCUGAAUAACUGGCCAGCCAUUCUUUGGAUCCUGGAUUGGAUACUCCUUAAAUCAAACAUGCUCCUGUAGAAAGAAUUUGAUGUCAGACUGUCUAUGCACCAAUCAAGAAUGAAGAGACUAGAUUGCAUCAAAAAACGGCAGGGAAAUCCUUCAGCGAUUCUGAUCCACUUACGGUGUUCAGCUGUAUUUACAUCUAGAGCAAUAGCAGACUAGCACUGAAUUCUUUUCUACAUUGUAAAAUCACAGUUGCGGACCACAGGAAUUCUGAUGAGGCUAUUAAGGUGAAAUAAUAAAAAAAGGAAACUCACAAGCAAACCAAAGGCCUCAUUUUAACAGUUGACAGGAAAAUUGUAACAGGAGAGAAAAGCUGUGGCGUCAUUUCAGAAAUGUUUGCCACCAAGCAAGGGCUUUUUCCUCCUGUCAUUUAAGCAGCCAAAUGAAUCAGAAUUUAAGGAAAGAGGCAGCUGUAGAACUUGAUCUUCCAAGUAUCCCAUGUACCUUUACUGAGCUUAAAGAUAAUGCUGUCAAAAUUAUUGCCAAGAUCUCACUAAAGGAUUUCUAUUUGCUAUUAGUUAAAAAUAAAACCCUGAAUACAUUUUUAUUCUUUCUACUGUGUGCAGUCUGUUUUCUUUUAUAAAUCCAGUACAAUAAACAAAUUAUUUAAUAACC